rnacentral:rRNA from 1 species
UACGUAGGGGGCAAGCGUUGUCCGGAAUCAUUGGGCGUAAAGCGCGUGUAGGCGGCCCGGUAAGUCCGCUGUGAAAGUCCAGGGCUCAACCCUGGGAUGCCGGUGGAUACUGUCGGGCUCGAGUCCGGAAGAGGCGAGUGGAAUUCCUGGUGUAGCGGUGAAAUGCGCAGAUAUCAGGAGGAACACCAAUGGCGAAGGCAGCUCGCUGGGACGUGACUGACGAUGAGACGCGAAAGCGUGGGGAGCAAACAGG